GCUAACUGCUGAAUUAGCCGCGCCUUCAUUGAACAAUAACGACCAAUCAGCGGGCUCGUCGGCCCCACGUGGCCCCGCCCAGCAUCACACCCACACCGGGCAGUAAAGAUCACAAACCCACGGCUCACGGGCUGCAGGCGGACACAUCUGAGGUGCGUUACACUGCCGUAAACAGAGAGCGCCUGUUCCCAUGACGGAGAGGAGGGGCACCGGUUCAAACACCUUGAGGUCAAAGGUCGAAACUCACGCAGAGGUUAUUAUGUUCCCGCAGAAGAUGGAGUUAAUUUGCUCUGGUUUGCAUGGGAAGUUGCACUCUGCUCACUUCCUUCUCCUGCUGAGUCAGAUUUCUUUAAAUGGGGAAAUUGAAAUCCUUUCUCUGAGAUGAGUCAAACAGACAUGUUGUUCUUUUGCUGUUCCUCCUUUACUGUUCCUCCUCAACUUCAAUUUCUCUCUCUUACAGUCAAUAUUUAUUCUACACCAGGUUUCUCUAUGUGUUGGGCUACUUUAAAUGAUUUAUGCAACAGUGUCCUAUAUAGACAGGAUCCAGAUCUACACUGGCAGAGAAAGCUUCCAACAUUUCCAAAUCCUCAUCCUCCUCAUGUCGAUGACUCAUGGUCAAAUUGACAGUUCGCCAAUGACAGUCAAGUCUGAACUACAGACCAGGUGGCGAUGUUAGUGCCAUACAGGCCACGCUCCCUGGAAGCAGUGCUGGAUUCCACACAAGAUUAACAUCCAGUUAUGAGGAUAAAGCUACAAUCCUCCUAGAUCUGCUGGGAACCGGCCACCACCACAACCAGAGGGGGGGAAAAAAACACACAAACAAGGGUGGUGCACACGCAAACACACACUCACCUUAUUUUGCGUCUGAUGAACUUUUAAGACCAUCUCGUUCAAGCUAUUACAUAAUUAGGCUGCACUGUUUUCCUAAGCCUAUGUUAAGUCCCUUUCAUUCCUCUUCAGGCAUGUUUACAGGUUUCUCCCCUGUAUGCCACCUCCUCCUCCUCAGCACUUUACAAUGCACAUUUCAUAACUGUUCUGUGUGGGUUAUAAAACCCUGAAGAUAUUUUAAUAUUGCAAUUGCCAAACUGAAGCAUAAUCCCUAUAUUUAGGCUACAUACAGUCAAAAUAACAGCAGCCUAAUUACAUAAGAUGCAUUCAAAUACAAUCACUCCAGCCGCCCUCGGCUUCUGUCAGUCACAGUGAAGUUGGCAAUUUAUUCUCCCAUGUGGAUUUGGCAUUUUUCUUCUUCGAGCAACACACACACUCACAAAUACACUUCAUGAAUACGUCUCCUCAUUUCUGCAGCAUGUGAUUAUAUCCUGACCUGGAAACAAGAGAAUAACUCAUAGCUUUCAUAGCAAAUGUUGACUAUAUCAUUUUAAAAUAAGACACAUUUUAUUGCAACACUGAUGAAAAAUAACAUGGAAGACACUGAUAAGGGACAAAAACAAAGACUGGCCUGAUUUCCAUCACAAUAUGCAACCAUAUAUACAAUGUGAAAUGUAAAACCUACAAUACCAGCCUUGUGUAUUAAAUUAAGCAAAAACUUUUCUCGUUCACCGCUCCAACCCAUGCUUCGUGUUGCCUCUCUCAGGGAGAAAGAUGAGAAACAAGACAGAAAGAAGGAGAUAGAAGAUGAGACUGCACCCUAAUGUAUUCUCCAUACUUAUUCUUUGAUGUGUCUAUAAUCCCUCACAUGCGUUUUCUAUAUUUGGCUUUGAAGCUCCAUAAACUAAUCCUCAAUUCUUUACCGUAACAAAACUGUUUGAAUUGGCCAGGAUUACACAUAUGCACAGUGGACGAACUCACUGGCUGGCAGAGAAUUACUGAAAUAAAAAGUCAGGUGGUUGAAUUAUGCA